rnacentral:rRNA from 1 species
UACGUAGGGGGCAAGCGUUAUCCGGAUUUACUGGGUGUAAAGGGUGCGUAGGUGGCAAUGUAAGUCAGAUGUGAAAUUUCGGGGCUCAACCCCGAAGCUGCAUCUGAAACUGCGUAGCUAGAGUGCAGGAGAGGAAAGCGGAAUUCCGAGUGUAGCGGUGAAAUGCGUAGAGAUUCGGAGGAACACCAGUAGCGAAGGCGGCUUUCUGGACUGUAACUGACACUGAGGCACGAAAGCGUGGGGAGCGAACAGG